AGAGCGAACGCUGGCGGCAGGCUUAACACAUGCAAGUCGAGCGGGCGUAGCAAUACGUCAGCGGCAGACGGGUGAGUAACGCGUGGGAACGUACCUUUUGGUUCGGAACAACACAGGGAAACUUGUGCUAAUACCGGAUAAGCCCUUACGGGGAAAGAUUUAUCGCCAAAAGAUCGGCCCGCGUCUGAUUAGCUAGUUGGUGAGGUAACGGCUCACCAAGGCGACGAUCAGUAGCUGGUCUGAGAGGAUGAUCAGCCACAUUGGGACUAAGACACGGCCCAAACUCCUACGGGAGGCAGCAGUGGGGAAUAUUGGACAAUGGGCGCAAGCCUGAUCCAGCCAUGCCGCGUGAGUGAUGAAGGCCCCUAGGGUUGUAAAGCUCUUUUGUGCGGGAAGAUAAUGACGGUACCGCAAGAAUAAGCCCCGGCUAACUUCGUGCCAGCAGCCGC
rnacentral:rRNA from 1 species